CCUACGGGAGGCUGCAGUGAGGAAUAUUGGUCAAUGGACGAGAGUCUGAACCAGCCAAGUAGCGUGAAGGAUGACUGCCCUAUGGGUUGUAAACUUCUUUUAUAUGGGAAUAAAAUGUUCCACGUGUGGGAUUUUGUAUGUACCAUAUGAAUAAGGAUCGGCUAACUCCGUGCCAGCAGCCGCGGUAAUACGGAGGAUCCGAGCGUUAUCCGGAUUUAUUGGGUUUAAAGGGAGCGUAGGUGGAUUGUUAAGGCAGUUGUGAAAGUGUGCGGCUCAACCGUAAAAUUGCAGUUGAAACUGGCAGUCUUGAGUACAGUAGAGGUGGGCGGAAUUCGUGGUGUAGCGGUGAAAUGCUUAGAUAUCACGAAGAACUCCGAUUGCGAAGGCAGUUCACUGGACUGCAACUGACACUGAGGCUCGAAAGUGUGGGUAUCAAACAGGAUUAGAUACCCUUGUAGUC
rnacentral:rRNA from 1 species